rnacentral:rRNA from 1 species
UCCGUAGGUGGAUAAUUAAGUCAGAGGUGAAAUCCUGCAGCUCAACUGUAGAGUUGCCUUUGAUACUGGUUAUCUUGAGUCAUUAUGAAGUGGUUAGAAUGUGUAGUGUAGCGGUGAAAUGCAUAGAUAUUACACAGAAUACCGAUUGCGAAGGCAGAUCACUAAUAAUGUACUGACACUGAGGGACGAAAGCGUGGGGACUAACAGGAUUAGAUACCCUGGUAGUCC